rnacentral:rRNA from 1 species
UACGUAGGGUGCAAGCGUUAUCCGGAAUUAUUGGGCGUAAAGAGCUCGUAGGCGGUUUGUCGCGUCUGCUGUGAAAACUGGAGGCUCAACCUCCAGCCUGCAGUGGGUACGGGCAGACUAGAGUGCGGUAGGGGAGAUUGGAAUUCCUGGUGUAGCGGUGAAAUGCGCAGAUAUCGGGAGGAACACCGGUGGCGAAGGCGGGUCUCUGGGCGAGUAACUGACGCUGGAGGAGCGAAAGCGUGGGGAGCGAACAGG